rnacentral:lncRNA from 1 species
CCUUGUUGUUUCAAUACCACAAUGGCCCUCUUCUUACCGGUGAAGUUUCUAUCAACUUGAUCUGGUAUGGCAACUUUAAGCCAUCGCAGCGAGCCAUUGUCUCAGAUUUUAUUGCCUCUGUCUCUUCUAGAAGACCCACAACAGCCCAACCCUCUGUGGCCACGUGGUGGAAAGCCACUGAGAAAUAUUACAACCUUGUCAAGACGAAGAAAACCUCUCCUCUUCUCCUCUCCGUAGGAGCACAGAUUUUAGACGAGAGCUAUUCGUUGGGGAAAUCGCUCUCCAGCAAGCAAAUCGUGCAGCUAGCAACGAAGGGUGGUCAAAAGGGUGCAAUCAACGUUGUUUUGACAUCAUCCGAUGUUGCUGUUGAAGGGUUUUGCUCUAGUAAAUGUGGUACUCAUGGGUCCUCCUUGAGCGCUAAAACAAUCAGCGGUAAGAGAUCUAAAUUUGCUUACAUUUGGGUCGGUAACUCUGAGACUCAAUGCCCCGGCCAGUGUGCGUGGCCAUUCCACCAGCCAAUCUAUGGACCACAGAACCCUCCAUUGGUUGCACCCAACAAUGACGUGGGUCUUGAUGGUAUGGUGAUCAAUCUGGCUAGUCUUUUGGCUGGGACUGCAACAAACCCAUUUGGAAAUGGCUACUUCCAGGGUCCGAAGGAGGCUCCUCUUGAGGCCGCGUCUGCUUGUCCUGGGGUCUAUGGUAAGGGUGCGUAUCCUGGUUAUGCUGGGGAUUUGUUAGUGGACUCUGCAACUGGUGCUAGCUAUAAUGCUCAUGGUGUUAAUGGAAGGAAUUACGUGCUUCCAGCUUUAUUUGACCCUUCAACUUCAACUUGUUCCACUUUACUUUGAGAAGGGAUCGCAACGCAUUAGUGUGUAUGAGAGUAGAGAGAUUAUUCUUUGAUUUAAUCAUUCUUUCAUUCAAUUAUAAUGAAAUCAAAAUUUCAGCAUAUUUGAAUUAAUGUUGCCUCUUGAAUAUGUUGAUUCUAAACUGACUUGUCUCUUCUUCUAAUUGAAUUUGAUUAAUUGACUAGAGAAAGCAAAAAGGACAGUUUUUUUUUUUUCAAUUCGUAAUCACGAAAUUAAUAUUCAUUUCUUAUUUUUUUAUUGUGCUGUAUCAUCAACAAUUAAUAAACAAAAAUGUUAACAGAGUGAAUAAUUUUUUUGUUGUGUUAUUAAACCUAAUUUAACGAGACACUUGAAAUCUCGCAAUCUGAUUUAAUGUUUGCCCACUUUUAGUUUUUAAUUAAAUUGCAUGAGAGUUAGUCUAAACUAAUUUGAUUAAUUUUGUAGGUUUUAAGACAAUCUUGAUAACUGCUAAAAACAUAAUUUAGCUUCUAACAAAACUCAUAGGUAACAAUUUUUUAAAAUAUUAUUGAAAUAAUAAUAUAUUGGAUCGAUCUAAGCCCCCUAGCGAACCAUGUCAUAGAUUGCAUUGAGUUUCAUAACUCUUUUUAUAAAUUAUAUUUUAAUUAUAUGAUAAACUUAUAUGAUCGUAAAACUGAGUACCAAACUAAAAAUAAAAAUUUAUUUUGAGACAUUAAUAACCCAAGUAGAAAAUAAAAAUAAAUAAAUUAUGUAGUUUAUUUCCAAACAAAUUUAAUAUUGAAAUAAAAAAUAAAAAAAAAACAAUUAAAUGAUGAAAAAAAAUAUUGAACGUCGAUAUAAAAAAAAAUUACAAACAAGCAAUCCAAAAUUAAAAAUAACAAUUAAAAGAAUGAAUGUUAAAAUCAAAAUAAAAAGUAAAUUAAUAAGCAACAACAAAUUUUCACUUUGAGAUUUAAAAUGAAAAAAAGGAAAACAAAAACCAAAAGAAUAAGGAUGAAAAAAAAAUACACUAUCAACUUGGAUUGGAGGUUAAAAUUAAAAUAAAAUAUAAAAUUUUAUAAAAGGAUUAAUGAAAAAAAAUCAUAAGAAUAAGAAUUAAAUUUUAAACACCAAUAUAUUAUAAAACAAUUGAUGUAGAAUUUUCCAACGUGUUUUUUUAAAUUAAAAAAGUUAUAAAUGAACAGGCAUUAAAUUAAAUAAAUCAUGAACUAUUGUGUAAAUAAUUAGGAAAAAAAGUCAUUAACGAUAAAUAACAAUGUAGGUGGAGAAAUUGAGAGACAAAUCAAAAUAAUUAAUAACGCAACAUAUGUUAUUUAACUGAUUAUGUUUAAUAAAUUUAUUUAUUUAGAUCAAUUUAUAAUACAAAUUGACACUCAUAUAAAAUUUAUUUAAUAAAAUUAAAAACAAAAUAUUAUAUAAGGCAGACACAUAUUCAAACAAUUAUGAAAAUAUAUAAUAAAUCUAAAUAAAAUACAUUAAAAAAAAACUACAAAUGAGUCAUACUAACUUCUUAACAAAUUAAACACGUUUAAUAUAAUUAAAAAAAUAAUUAUUAUUUAAAAAAAAGCAAAGUAAGCAAAAAAAAUCAUAGAGAGGGGGUAUUGAUUAAAAUAUUAAUUUAUUUUUUUAAAAAAAUACAUAUAAAGGUAUUAAUUUAAAAAAAAAUUAAAAGGGAAAAAUAUGGACAUACAAUGAACCUGGCUCAAAUAGAAAAGGCCCGUGUGCGGGCUUAUAUUUUUUUAGUUACAAGGGCGGAUGACAUAACGUGUUUUUUUAAAAGAUAAUGUGUUAUGUGUUGCAGUAGAUGACACGUUGUCUAUAAUCCUAGAAUGUAACCAUUGUGGUGACUAGAAAAACAAAGUUCAUGAUUUUUUACAUCCAAAAACCCAUUUCCAACUCGUUUUUGACCUAAAACACAUAGAAAAACAAUAGGAACAUUGUUAAACCAAAUCAUAGAAAAAACACAUAGAAAAAAUGGUUCGCUCAGAGUAAUUUUUAAUAUUUUUAGAAUAGAAAACCUUUGUUCCUCUAUUCGAUACCAUAUCAAAUUAUUGGGUGAAGGCGUAAUUUACAUAGAUUACAACGUAUUAUCUAAGUCUUAAUAAUAUGAUAAUUCAACUACUGUCCUUUAAUAAUAUAAUGAUUCGACUACUAUCCUCUAAACAAGGUAUUCAUAACUUUACAAUCUUUAUUCUUUAUAGCUCAUUCUAAUAAUUACUAGUGCAAAAUCCUUCAAGAGCAAUUUCUUCCACUAUUAAAACAAUUGUUAGACCACCUUGUUAUGAGAUGGUGAUAAACUUAUUGUUUAACUUAGUUAUUUGAGAUUUAUCAAGAUUUGUUUUACGUUUGCUAUUGGAUGUAAUGGAUGUGUUGUUAUUGUUAUUGUUAUUGUGCUUUAAAUAGGCAACCAAUAAAAUUUUACAUGAGCUGAAAUGAAAGUAACGGACUAAAUGUUUAACAACUAUUCAAACCAACUUUUUCACCUACAAUUCUAGCUUACAAGAUGAAGCAUUCUCACUUAAUAUUUCAAUUACCAACAGGAACCAUUAUCUUACAACAAUCACCAAUAAAAUGCAAUACAUUCAGCAAUAAUGUUACAACACAUUAUUUUAACAAUAGAUCAUAAUCUCGUACAUUGAAUCUCCUACUCAAUAGCAACCAUUUAUUUUUCAGAGUAAUGGACAACAACAUAUCAAUAGCAACAUUGACGUCCAGAUCAACAUAUCACAGUAAGAUUUUUAUCUCUUCUAACUGUAAAACACACAACACCAAAAUACAUAGUUUUUAGACCUCGCUCGGGUUCCGAGUUUUGACCGGGUCUCCCAGGUCAAUUUAAUUUUUUUUUUAAAAAAAACACAACAGUCAAUGGGUUGCAACCAGGUUUUUGACUGGAUCUUGCCGGUCAACUGGGUCGCUCGGUCACACCGGGUUUUUCCUUCCCCUUUUUUUUUUAAACCGGACCGAUUCCAGCCCCGCGUCCCAGGAAGACCCGCCGGGCCGGGCCGGUUUCAAAACUAUGCCAAUAUAUAUUCAUGAGAGUUCAAAUAUGAAAAUUAUGUUUAUCAAGCAUUUAAAAUCCAAUGAACAAAUCAUUAUAAUAACCUAUCCAACAAUAUUAGACUUCAAAUAUGAAAUUCAGAUAAUACCAAAAACACACGUGAAUCAUAAUCAACUUCAAUUGGCGAGAAAUAGCAUAGAGAUAACUGUAAGUACAUUAUAUCAUAUUUACCCUUACAUCAAGGUUUAACAUUUGAUCUCCUCUCGAACAUUAAUUUGAGCUAUUGAAAUUUUCUUUCCUUAUCUCCAAUUAUUACCCACAUUUCCCUCUUGCUUCUAGCCAUGAAAAACUAAGUUGCAAAACAAUAAAAUUCAUUGUCGAAAACUACUUCCUCAAUAGAGUAAAACUCCUUCAUAACCUCUUCUAUGCUGCAUCAUUUUUUAUCCUAACCACUAGAUAUGCAUUUCCUCCUAGUAGAGACACCAUCAACCAAACGAUCUAAACGUUAAAAAAGUUAUGUUUCCAUUCAUAAACCUUUUUUUUUAUCACUCUUUUGUGUACAUUGUUGAACAUCUUUUCUUUUUCAACUACUGCUACUACUACUAGGAUUGCUACUACUAUUGGCAAAGUUAACAUAGCAACCAUAUUAUUGACAUCCUCUAUAAAAUUUAGUAAAGUAUCCUCCUCUAAAUCACCACUACCUUCCUCUACAUGUAAAUCCUCAUUAGUAGCAUUUUUUCUCCUUUCACCUACAUCAUCAUCAUCAGAAUUCAAACCCUAUGAUGGAGCCCAAUCAUACUAACUAGUAGCCACAAUAUUUGUAAACAUAAUAUCAUAUUUACAACACAAUGCGGGAUCGAUACCAGAAUGUCUAAACUUUCAAGCUCCUCGUAUCUCCUACAACAAGGGAAAAUUAAGAUAUAAAUGAAUCAUAAUAAUUGUAAGAAUAAAAAAUAAAAUAAUUUAUAGUAAUUGUACACAUGCCGAAACAAAAACAGACCUUGAUUUUAGAUUUUCAUCACUCAUUAGUUGCUGAAAUUGCUCCAAGUUCAGGACUCCAGCCUACUCCGGUUUUGGAAAUCAACUUUUUUCAUAUUCUCCAAUCCUUUUUUAUUCUGUCCCACUUAUUCUUUAAUUGUGCUUUUGUUAAUGCAUGGUCGGUCUGCUCUUUAAAGCAAUUCAUAAUAUAUUUUCAUAUCCAACUUUAUCGAAAUAUGUCUUCGAUCGCAUACUUUUCUUAAUUUCUUUAAUACAAAUGUCAUAAAAUAUGUUCAACAUUUCUCUGGUCCAACAAGCUUUAUCUUGUGAUUGAGAAUCUUCUAUGUUCUCAUUUAAAAAGUUUUUUCUAACAUACAAUUAAUAAGUUAGUUUUCUAGAUGUAAUGUAACAAAAAACAAUGACAACACAGAAUUUUGUUGUGAUAAUAAAUAGCAGCUUUGGUCUAUGAAAGCAACAAUUACUAAGGGCUACUUGACAAGAUAAGGUGUUUGAUACAGUUGAUGAAAUAAGUAAUGUAACAAAUGACGAUGACAACACAGAAGUUUGUUGUGAUAAUAAAUAGCAGUUUUGGUCUGUGAAAGCAACAAUUACUAAUGACUACUUGACAAGAUAAGGUGUUUGAUAUAGUUGAUGAAAUGAAUUUAACAUUAAUAACAAAUAAAAUAUUUUAUAACACUCAAUACAACAAAGAAAUAACGCACAUGGAUUGAACCAAGUUUUUGAAAAAAACAAUUAAAAGAAACCCAUGCAAGUUUAGAAAAGAGAGUUACAGAAGAAGAAAACCAAAUCAUAAAGAAAAAAUUAAGUCUAGUAAUUCAUGAGGAUGUUGAUUGAUCCUAUAUAAAUCAGCAUACCCACUCACUAACCAUAAUAUUACAAACAAAAAAAAUCUACAUCAGAGGUGUCACUAAUAAGUUACAAGAAAUCUGGUAGCAUCAUAAACAUUUUUUGGGAAGUUUUUUUUUUUUUUGCAUAUAGGUUAAUAUAAUAUGUUUAUGGCUUGAGACAUAAGAGUAUUAAACUUCAGUAAAUUACACAAUUACAGACAACAUUGUUAAAAUAUCCUAAUCAUGAACAACAUCUAAUUCUUAUUUUGCAAUGAGGUGAGAUAAAUGAUUGAUGUUGUACUUGAAUUGAAAUGCUUAUGCAUACAAAAUAAUCCAAUUUGUCGGUUUAUAACAUGAAAGAAAAUACAAGUAUUGACAUAUACAAUGACCGUGCAUUAAGAACAUACAUAAGAAAAUGUCUUCAAUUUUUGCCCAGUCACAGCUAAACUUAAAAACAUAUAACUUCAAAAAAAAAAAAGAUAACAAAGAUCAUGAGUCUUUUAGUAUAGGAUGCACCAAAACAGUGAGAAUCGAGAGUUUGUUGUGCUUUUUAAAAAUAAAAGAUGUUAGAUCUAUGGUUCCUGAAUCAAAACAGAACGCGUAAAUUUUGGAAAAAGGAAUAAGUGAGUGAUUUUUGCUGAUAUUGGAAAUUUGAGUUACAUGAAGUGUUUUAAAUAUAUUCUCAAGAAAAUUACCUUGAACAUCAUCAUCAAUUUCAGUGUGUCUUCAACCAUUUCUGGGUUAUGAGGAAGCAUCAUCACCGCGAAAAGAAUAAAAGACGGCAAUAGAUUUGGUGUAUGGUUUAAGUUUAGGACAUGGAUUUGAGUUAGAGAUGGGGUAAUCUUUAAUCUGAAUGAUUUGUUGACAGACAACAGUACAUUCCCUAAUAUUUAACAAUUGGAUCUCCAAUCGGUAAGAAAGUGAGAGUGUGUGAGGUUUGUGAGAUUGAAAUGAGGGGAAAGAACAAUAGAGAGAUAGAAAAGACAUACUAGAGAGAAGAGCAAGAAGAACAAUGAUAGAAGAGACACAUGAAGAGAAAGACAUGGUUAUUUUUUACAAUAGAAAAUUCCAUGGUUUAAUUGUGUCAGUGCAUAUGUGUGUUCAGCAAAAAACAAGUGACGCUUGCUUUUACUUAACAUGUGCUUGCAACAUAGGUUACUGUGGGUCCUAAAAGUUGAAAAGUAUGGGUCAUGGUUAACCAAACAACUUUAAUUUGUGGUUUCAACUUAACAUGGAAGUUACCAUGUAAACAUUUUUUUUUAGAAGGUGUUUGAGAGUGUGGUAGCAGUUACUUUUCAAAGUGUUUUUCACUCUGAAAAAUAUUAAAAUAAUUUAUUUUUUUUAUUUUUUUAAAUUUAUUUUUAAAAUUAACAAAUCAAAAUGAUCCAAAAACAUUAAAAAACUAAUUUGAAAUAAAUAUAAAAAAACAAGUUGAAAUUCAUGGUGAAACACCCCUUUAAGAUUUGGCAGAGAAACCACUUUCCAUUAAAGUUUGAAUGAAGUCAGCAAUGCACCAUUGUUGUAUCGUAGAGACACGGGUGAUGGUUGUUAUAGUGCAUUUAGCUUUCUUGCGGUAGACAUAAAUUAGCUAUGCCUGAGAUUGGAAUGAGAAAGAACAGAGAGAUCAAUUUGCUAAAAUAAGAGAAACCCGAGUAAAAAAUGAAGAUAUUUCAAAUUUUCUCAAAGCAAGAGAGGGAGCUUUUCGAUUUCAAAUGGAUGAGAGAGAGGAAAUGAAAAGAGAGCAUAUGUAGGUGAAUGGGUGCAUGCACUGAGCAAGGGGAUGGUUUGCGGUGUUGCUUUCAUGAGCAACUUAUUAGAGCACUUUAAAGUACUAAGAUAAAAGAAAAGAGUGUGACGUUUGGCCAGAAUAUUCUCUCCCUACCUUCUUUCAUUUCAUCAAUCGAGCAUCUUAUUGUAUGCAGGUUAGGAGACUUGAGUGAUGGUCAUAUUGGUUUCCUAGCUAGCUACCAAAAUGGGAUACAGGUCAAGUACAAUGGUGGACAUAGAUGGACCAUGGCUGCAGCAGCUAAAUGGGAUACAAGUCAAGUACAAUGUAAUAAGCCUUACACUGCACUGUUAUUGUAAAAUGAAUCACACAUUUUCCAUUCAAUCACUUGUAAUCUUUAUACAGUCCUAAGAGCUUAAUUGCAGGAAUUCAAAUGUUUGUAACUGACUAAUAUUGAUUGCAGGAAUUCAAAUGUGUAACUGACUAAUAUUUACAUACAUAAUUAAUAGCAAUAUCUUCAGGAAUAACCGACUGAUUCUGUAGUUAUGAAGAGCAUAAAAUCUGGCAUUUCUUCUGGUGACAGCUAUGCUUGUAUUGGUAAUAAUUUGAAUUCAUCAGUAUCCUUGAUACGCCCCCACAAGAACGGGCUACCAUCAAAUAGACCGAUCUUGUUACGUAAGAAUUAUGUUCGUUGCCUAGAGAGGGGCUUGGUGAGCAGAUCAACUAGUUGAUCAGAGGUGUGGACAUGAUGAACAACAAGGACAUUCUUCGCAACCAAAUCACGGACAAAGUGAAGGUCAAUCUGGAUAUGUUUCAUCCUAGAAUGCUGAACAGGAUUAAAACUCAGUUGUGUUGCACCCAAAUUGUCACAUAACAAGAGUGGUGGUUGAGAAAGAGUGAAUUGCAGCUCUUGAAGCAAGGAUAACAGCCACACGGAUUCAGCUGCAGCCAUUGCCAAAGCUCGAUACUCUACUUCAGUUGAUGAUCGGGCAAUGGCACGCUACUUUUUAGAACUCCAGGAAAUGGGUGUGUUCCCAAGAAAUAAUAGAUAGGCUGACCUUGAUUUUCUAUCGUCCAAAUUGCCAGCCCAGUCUGCAUCAGAAAAACAAGUCAGUGUUGUCUUAGAUUUGUUGCUAAUAGUAUGAAAGAUGGUGUUCUUCAAGUAGCGCAGCAAUCUUUUUAUGGCCGUCCAGUGAGUCUGUGUGGGUUGAUGCAUAAAUUGGGAUAAUUUGUUGACCGCAAAGCUGAUAUCAGGUCUUGUGAGAGACAGGUAUUGCAAGGCUCCAAUGAUUUUACAGUAUUCUAUAGUAUGAGCAGAAGAAGAACCAUCAUUCAGUUGUAGAGGAGCCGAUGUUGAGAGAGGAGUAGUAACAUCUUUGGCACCUUCCAUACUAGUCUUGGCAAGUAAAUCACGGAUGUACUUAUGCUGACUAAGAAAUAACCCGGCUGCAGUAGGGAUAACCUCAACACCAAGAAAAAAAUGCAGUGAUCCCAAGCCCUUGAUAGAAAAUUUUGUUCCAAGAUGAUCGAUAAUACUUGCAACAAAAACUGAAUCACUGCCUGUGAUAAUUAAAUCAUCAACAUAUACCAAACAGUAGGCAAAAGUGGCACCAACAUGAUACACAAACAAAGAGGAAUCAGAUUUAGAAUUAAUAAAACCAAACUCUGUUAAUGCAUUUUUAAGAGCAGAAUACCAAGCACGAGGUGCUUGUUUCAGACCAUAGAUGGCCUUAGUAAGACUGCAAACAUAGUCAGGAUAGUCUGGAUUUCGGAAACCUGGCGAUUGUUGCAUAUACACUCUGUUAGUGAGAUGCCCAUGAAGAAACGCAUUAUUGACAUCUAACUGUUUCAAAGACCAACCCUGCAUCACAGCAAUAGCCAAUACAGUUCGAAUGGUGACCGAUUUAACAACAGGACUAAAGGUCUCCUUAUAAUCCACUCUGGGUCGUUGAUUGAACCCUUUAGCCACUAACCGGGCUUUAAACCGAUCAACUGACCCAUCAGCAUGCCUUUUAACUCUAAACACCCACUUACAAUCAACAGUAUUACAAUCGGGCGGAGGAGGAACCAAUUGCCAGGUAUUGUGACGCAUUAAGGCAGUCAAUUCUGAGGACAUGGCUUCACGCCAUCUAGAGUCAGCUAGUGCCUCAGUAACACUUGAUGGUUCUAAUGAGGAUGGAAGAGGAUGUUUGGUAACAAGAAAGGAUUUUUUGGGUUUAUAGAUGUCAUUCAUUGACCGGAUGACCAUGCGAUGAACUCGAGACUUAGUGUUAACAGGAAUUGGAAGACUAAUUUCAGAGAUACUAGGAGCAUGCAAUUCAAUUGAGGAAUCUGAAUUUAAAGGCAGGGGAGGAGGCGAAGUACUUACCUGGUGAGAAGACGGUGCAGAGGGUGAUCCAUGCUCAGACACUGGUAGGAUAGCAGUACCCACAUCCGGAGACUCGCUGAGACCAGUAAGGGAAAGUUUUGGCAACGAGAUCUGGACAGAUGAGUUGUGUCCAGUAGAUGAAGAAGGAGUGGAACGGCGAUGAUCAUCUUGAUGGAAAGGAAAAGACCCCUCAUGAAAAAUGACGUGGCGCGAGGUGAUCAUUUUUUUAGUAGAAAUAUCAAAACAUAAGUAUGCAUUUUGGGAAAGACUGUAACCCAUGAAUGAACACGAUUUUGAUUUUGGCUCAAGUUUAUGCUGAUUAUAUGGUCGAGUUAACGGGUAACAGAGACAUCCAAAUUGUUUGAGUUUGAGAUAAUUAGGCUUUUGAUUGAAUAAUUUUUCAAACGGAGAUUGAUUAUUCAAGGAAGCAGUAGGCAUUCGAUUAAUGAGAUAGGCAGCAGUUUGAAAUGCAUAAGGCCAAUAAAAAAGCGGCAUGUGGGCAUCAGUGAGUAAAGUUAGACCAGUUUCAACAAGAUGGCGAUGUCGUCGUUCAGACAUACCAUUUUGUUGAGAAGUGUGGGGAGCAGUGGUGUAGUGACCAAUUCCAUGAACAGAGAGAUAAGUUUUUAGUCCAAUGUAUUCCCCACCAUUAUCAGAAUAAAGACUUUUAAUUUUGGUGUUGAAUCGAUUUUCCACAAGAUUACGAAAAUUGUGGGAAAAUGGUCUGAACAUUUGAUUUAUGAGUCAUGGGAUAAAUCCAAAUAUAUUUGGUAUAAUGGUCAACAAAAAUAACAUAAUAUUUUGAGCCAUUAAUCCCAAUAUCGUGAGAUGGUCCCCAAACAUCUGUAUAAAUCAAUUCAAGUGGAGAACUGCUAGUAAAUCCAUGAGUGUGAAAAUCUGACGAUGGGCUUUAUUUUGAGAGCAUGAAGUGCAUAAUGAGGAAUGACCAUUUUUAUUGGUAGGUAAGAAAAAGCAUGAAUAAGAUGAUUAACUAAUUUGGACGAUGGAUGACCAAACCGUUUAUGCCAUCCAUCGGGUGUGGUACGUUCAUGAACAUAGGCAACAAUAUUUUUCUUGGAAAGUGGUAGAUGCUCCGGAAAUGGGUACACUCCAUCUUCACAAGCGCCUUUGAGCAGAAUCGCCCCCGUGAUCCGAUCCUUCACCAAAAAAUAAGUAGGAUGAAAUUCAAUGUAAACAUUGUUAUGCUUGGUGAAAUGAUGAACAUAAAUAAGAUUUUUAUGAAUGGUGGGAACACAAAGAGUGUCAUGUAAAUGAAAAGUAUGAUUGGACGAUUUAAGAGACAAGGACCCAACGUGAGACACAGGCAAACCUGUUCCAUCACCAAUUACCACCUCAUCAGUACCAUCAUAUUCAGAGUUAAUCAUCAGAUUAGACAGAUCCGUAGUCAUAUUGUGAGAUGCUGCGGAAUCAACAAGCCACUUGUGAUUUUUUUGUUGAGAAGAAGCGGCACAAUUUGCAGUGAAAUCAGAAUUUGACAUUUUUGGGCAUUGUUUGGCAGUAUGACCCAUUUGAUCACACCAUUGGCAUUUCGGUUUGAAUCUUCUGUGACCCGAAUGAAAUGAAUUAUUUCGGUGAGACCCACUUUGGUCACGAGGAGGACGAGAAUUAGCUGGGGGACGCCAUUUAGGUUGUCUGAAAUUAGGCGAAAAUUGAGAGGACUGAGGACUCCACCGAUUUGAGUAAUUAGCAGUGGGUACAAACGAGGGAGCAGAUUGAUGAUCAAGACGCCGAAGAUAGCUUUCAUGACUUACAAGAAGAUCAUGUAUUUCUUCAAACUUCAGAGAAGUCUCACGGGCACGAAUAGAAGAUGCAAUUUCUCUGAAUUCAAUACCCAAUCCAUUGAGUAUGUAUAAAGUUAAAUCAUCAUCUGAGAUCGGAUGAUCAAUAACUGCUAGUUCAUCAGCAAUUACUUUGAUGCCGUGCAGGAACUCAGUAACAGUGUGAGACCCACGAGUGCUCAAGGUUAAAUCUUCUUUGAGCUGCAUCACACGAGUUCUGGAUUUGCCCGCAUAUAAACGGGCAAGUGUUGUCCAAGCUUCAUGGGAGGUUUUAUAGGCAGUAAGAAGAGGAGUAAUGGUGGUGGAGGUGGAGGCAAGGAUAGCGUGUAAGAUGAGUUUGUCUUGACGAAUCCAGUGGGAAUUCGCAGCUUUGGAUGCAGUGAAAUUCAGAGCAUCAAUGGCAGGACAUUUGUGUAUACCUGUGACAAAAUCAAUAAGGUCAUAGCCAAUGAGUAAGGCUUCAAAUUGAGCCCUCCACUGUGGAAAGGUGGAGGGGAUUAGUUUUUCAUUGAUUGUUGUGGCUGCAUUGAUUGUGAUGAUGGGUGAGGUUGGUGAUUCGGUGGAUGAUGAAGGGUGGGUGGUCAUGUUGCAGGAAGCAGAUAAAGAGGGUAAGGAGGAUGAAUACUCGUUAGAGUGUUUUCAGCUCUGAUACCAUAAUAAGCCUUACACUGCACUGUUAUUGUAAAAUGAAUCACACAUUUUCCAUUCAAUCACUUGUAAUUUUUAUACAGUCCUAAGAGCUUAAUUGCAGGAAUUCAAAUGUUUGUAACUAACUAAUAUUGAUUGCAGGAAUUCAAAUGUGUAACCGACUAAUAUUUACAUACAUAAUUAAUAACAAUAUCUUUAGGAAUAACCGAUUGAUUCUGCAGUUAUGAAGAGCACAAAAUCUAGCAUUUCUUCUGGUGACAGCUACGCUUGUAUUGGCAAUAAUUUGAAUUCAUCAGUAUCCUUGAUACAAUGGUGGACAUAGACGGACUAUGGCUGCAGCAGCUAAAUGGGAUGCAUGUUUUUUAAAACACUUCUCUAGGCAGGUCUGUAUCUCAAUGUCAAUAUUAUUAGAGUUUCUCUUGGAUCGAUGCGUGCAUUUAAUCACUGUUAUUGUCUUAAGCUAACCACUGAAUGGAGCUACAAAAACUGGGCUUCGAGCCACUUAUGUGCAGUAUUUUAUACACGCGCACAGAGAAAUACUUGAAGUCAAAGGGUCGGGACCGGAAGCCACAAACAUAGCACAUUCGAUGCUGGUUUAUUCGCCGGCAAAGACCAUGGAAUACGAGGCAAAGUCUUCAGAAAUCCCAACGUGACAUAAAUUUAUACAUGCAACUAGUUUUACUGAUAUUUUAAUAAGCUGCCACCAAAACGGAUGGCAAAAGAAAUGGCACUUCUCCUCUCUCAAACGAAGUCCAAAUUCGCCUCAGCAAAUAUAUGGACAGCUACAGCUAUGAACCGCCACCUAAUAGGUGACAAAAGGAAUCCAGGAUGGCUAGAAAAUUAAGCAAGGCCCUUGCUGAUAAUAAACAUUAGCCCCAUCUCUUCUUUAUCUCAAUACCUUUUUUUCAUUUCAAACAUGUAGUUUUAUUUGGAUUUUCAAACAGAUUAAUUAAGAAGAUAUAAACAAUUGCAUCCCAUAUUAUCCAUUUUCAAAUUUCUUCAUUUGAAUAUAAAUAAGAGAGAAAUUGGAUUGAGAUAAUUAAAGGUAUAAUUAAGCAAUUAAUGCUGUGGUUUAUAUAUAUAUAUAUAUGAUGUAUAAUAGUUUUGGAACAUGUCAAAAUAAAACUACGGAUAAUUAAUGCUAUAAAUUUCCAAGAUGUCAGCACGCACUCGUGGAGCUAUAAGAUUUGAAAUUUAAAAUCAGAGAGCAUUAAACAUAGUUAUCUGCUCUGUCAUGUCUGCAAGUAAGAAACAAGGCAGAUGCACUCGUGGACGCAUUGACAAACUCGUUAGCAUCUUUGCAUUUAACAAAUCAAUGCCUCGUGAAUGCUACCUUAAUUUAUAGAAAGCAGCCAAGCUCGUGAAUUUAGGUUCUAGAUGAUGCAUGGCUGUUUGAUCUCCACGGUGUUAAUUAAGUUUAGUGCACUGUAACCCUUUUAUUUAUUUAUUUAUCAAGCCAUUUGCAGUUUAAGAAAUGAGUGAUCUUCAGUGUUAGGUUUGCCAACAUUUUUAAUAUUGUUUAGUUCAGUAAAAAAAAAAAAAAAACCUACCUUCAGCAUUAUUUAUUCUAGUAAACUAUAAACCGAUAAAAAACCUACCUCAUGAAUUAUUUAUUUAGUUUGCUAGCCUAAUUAAUUACUUUUAUGCCAUUUACUUUUCUCAUAAAAUUAUCCAAUUAUAUUUAACUAGUUGUGUGUUUUGUGUUUUGCGCCAAGAUAUUUAUUACCUUUAAUAUUUAAAAGAUAAUUAAGUAAUGUUUUUAUUACUUUUAAUUUUAUCCCAUCCACAUUUUUCAAUUUUCAUAUUCAAGAAAUCUUUAAUUAAGGAUAUUGUUUUUCUAUUUUUUUGUUUUUCAAUCCAAUAAUAUUUGUGAAACAACACACUAAAUACAUACAUUUUUAAUGUUAAAUGUUUUUUUUAUUCAAUGGAAUAAUACUUGUGAAAUAACAAAUUCAUCAAGAUGAAACAACACAUUAUCUUUACGAUGAGCACAAUGAUUCAAGAAAAAUAAAAUAUGAAAGAGUUCUCAUUAAUUUUUUUAUUAUUUUUUUUUUACAAUGAUAUUAUAAAUAAACAUAAGUUAUUACUAUGUGAUACAACAUUAAGAAGAAUUCUAAAGGGGCUCAUAAUUUUACUAUUUAUAGAGACACGGGUCAUUGUUGAUUCACAUAAUGAUUUGAUUAUUAUUUUUAUUCUCUAAAGUUUUUAAUAUUUUUUUAAUUCAGUCCUUCAAAAUUGAAUUUAUUGAAAAUUAAGCUUUGAAAUUUAUUUCAAUCUGAUCCCUGCAAGUUUAUUGUAGAAUCAAAAACAUUAUUGGUAUUGGGUCGAUGCUCAAUUUUACAGAAAAAAAAUAAUGAUUAUAUUGUUUGCAACAAAUUAAAAAUUAAAGGAUCAAAUUUAAAAAAGAAAUAGCAAAUAUUUUUAAAAUUUUUUGUUUUGUUAGCAUUUUUGGGAAGAUAUUUUCCUUGAUCGAAUUUCGUUUUUGGUUCUUUUAGUUUUGCAAUUAAAUAUUUUAGUCUAGAAUUUUAUUUUAUUCAUUUUUCAAUCUAUAUGUUUAAGAUAGAAGAUGAAAAAAAGCCAAUGAAAAACAAUAAAGAAAAAAGAAAAGGAUUAAUUUGUUGGUUUUCGAUGAUAAAAAUAGCCAAAUUCAGUUUCAAAGUGUUUCUCUUGACCAGAGGUGUAAGGUGUUUUUGAGUUUCCAUGUUGUUGGAAAAGGUAGAUAUAGGUUGGAGGAGGUUUUGUUCUCCGACUUGAUUUUGUGUUUAUGCAUUAUUUUUUUUUGGUUUUUUAUAAUGAUAAAUUGGUUUUUUGAGAUUUUAGGGAUUUUUAUUUGAUUGUUUAUUGGUGAGAAUGAGUUAAAAAGUAGAUUUUUAUGUCAAAACAACCCCCUGCUUUUCUAGUCAUGUCUACCGUGGCUGGAUUCUAGGCUCAUUAAGUAUCGUGUGAUUCUUUAUAAACAAAUAUUGGGUGGACAAAAAGAAUAAAAAAUCAAAAGGAUGAAAAAGAAUUAAAAAAAGGUUUAAUUAAAAAGGAUAAAAUACCAAAACAAAUAACAAUUAAAAGAAUAAAAAUUAAAUCCAAUAUAAAAAAAUAAAUGAAAUUGAUUGCCAUGGAACAAUAUUAAAUAAAAAUAUCAAUCAAUGAAAGAAAGAAAUUAUUCAAAAUAUAAUAAAUAAUAAUUAAAAAAAAAUCAAAUUUAAUAUAAAAAUUAAUUGAUAGGACAACUCUUGAUUUUGGCAUGGCAGCACAAUUCUAAAGGAAAGAGAAAUAAAAAAGGGAAAAGAAGAAAAAAAGCUCAUUGAAGCCCAACCAAGAUGCCAACUAACAUGCUACAUUCCAUUGGAAAGAGCGAGUGGUAGCAUUGCCGCUGUGGAAGCUACAUUUCAUUCCCUAUGAGGCACCUCACACGACUCUUAAGACUGAAGAUGCCUUCCACAUGUUAGUACAUGGGUUACACGCACCAUCGAACUUUUCAUAUUUGUUUACCCCAAUCCUCAUACCCGUUCAAGUUUCAAUUUUUAUCCCUCAACACUAAAUUAUUUUAAAUUAGCCUAAUUGUGUAUUAUUUUCCAAAGUCAAGCAUCAACCAAGCAUUGAAAAUUUCCCCGAUAUAUUGCAAGAUCCUAAUAUCAAGACCAACAAAACAAACACACCAAGUGAAGUCCCAAUUAAAAUCAAUACAUGGGAAUCAAAUUGAAAAAUAAAUAUUGAAGUACCGAAGUGUAAAACGGUCUAGAACUUUCCUCUUAGCCGUGCAAAAAAUUCCUUGAGUUUGGCCAGAAAAGGAGUAGAAUAUUUCCUAAAGCUCUAAUUAUUUUAAAUCAAUUAAGUUAAAUUUUAUUUUGCAAAACCAAGAAUCAACCGAUUGAUUGACAUAAUAUUUUCUUAACACUUCAAGAUUCUCAUACCUAUCCAUAAUAAACAAAUCACCAAAACCAAUUACAAAUCAAAGCAAUGUAAGUAAUCAAAUAAGAAGAAAAUGAUCCUAAAAACUUAAUAAAAGAGAUUCAUUGUUUGACUGAACAUUGGAUCUCCAAACAGGCCAUGUACAUUUCUAAGAACUUUUAGGUUUUUUUUAUGAUUAGUGAAAAAUAAUGUUUAAUUAAAUCUAAAAACUCAUAAAAUUAUAUAAUAUAUCAAAAAAUCAUCUGAAUCUAAAAAUUAAGUUAUUAUAUUAGAUUUAGGAUAUGAUUUAUAUUAUUUUCUAAUACAAUAUAAUUCAAAUUUUAUUAUUAUUUAGUAUAAUUUAUUCAAAUAAAGGAUUUUAAUUAAUAUUUUUAUCUCAAAUUUAAAUAUUUGAUUUCUAAUAAUAUUUUCUCUUUAUAUGUAUAUAUAUAUAUAUAUAUAUAUAUAUAUAUAAUGAAAUUUUAGUAGCAAUUAUUGUAUAGCUAUAUCAUUAUUUCAUUUAAGGUUUGAUUAUUUUUCACUGUUUUUCUUUUUCCAAGUCAGACACAGAUUCACUUCCACAAUGAAUUAUCUUGGCGUGACAUCUUAUGUAUUAGCUUGACCCAGCUGGAAUGCUGAUACUUUUUUAUUAUUAUUAUUAUUAACAAAAAUCACAUCCUCUUCCUCCCUUCACCAGCUUUGUUUCACCUACCUUGAAAUGAGCAUUCAUAUCCACGGCCAGAGUGCGUCACCUCACAUGAUCACUCCCCUAGGAUACCUGACGGCCAUUCAUAUCCACAUUCAAACGUUAAAAAGAUAUAUGUAAAUGUUAUUUUUUUUAAAAAAAAGAAUCUAAGUUUUUUUUUAAUUUAAUCUAAUAAAUUUAAUUAAUUUAAUAACAUGAUUAGAGAAAGAUAUUGACAACAAACAAAUAAAAAAUCAACAAUGAUUCAAUGUAAAAAAUAAAUAUCUAUUAAUAUAUAUGAAAAUAUACCCUUACAAUAUUCUUAAAAAAUAUUGCAAUGAUCUUAUCUAUUAAUAAAAUAAACAAUAAAUGAGAAUGAGAUAAUUGCAUAAAAAAAAUAAGAAUCUUAAUUCCACAAAUAACAUGUCGAAUGGGAGAAUGAAAAAAAACAAUUUCAAAAAAUAAAAAGAAAUUGACAAAAGUCUGUCCAAACUAGCAAACCAAACUAUAAUCCAGUCGUGGAAUCACAAUAACCUUGUGAAAAACAAAUUCUAUAAAACUAUUUAAUUUAAUUCUCAAACCAAUCUAAUAUCGAAUGAUAAAAUUAAAAAAUAUAAAAAAACUAUGAAAAAUAUGCUCAGGUCGACCUGUCGAGCCGAGUUUUAAAAUUAUGUCGUUGGCACUCAACCGUUGCUCAUUUGUGGCACGUGCCUGCCAACUCGAAUGUUGUGGGCGACAAUGAUUUGCUGCACACACCAACUGAAUUUUUAUUUUAAUUAAGUUUUUUUAUUUUUUUAAAAAAGAUUAUUUUCAUUUAAGUAUUUAGUUAUCAUUAACAAGUUUUCAUAUUUGUUGAUUCAUAUAUAUAUAUAAUAUUUUUAAUUAUUUAUUAAGUGUAAAUAAUAUUUUUUAUGUUUACAAAUUUUUUAAAAAAAAAACCAUGAUGUAUUUUUUAUUACAUUAAAAAUUAGCCUGAAAUCAUUCUUGUCAUGUAAAUAACAUCUCUACACAAACAAUAAGUUUGUGUUCUUAAAUUAAAAUAAAAUAAUAAUAUUUAAAAUGCAUUAAAAAAUUAACAUAUAUUUUUUAUCAUGUUUGAAACUAACUUGGGGUUAUAAAACUAAUUAACAUGAGAAUAGAAGAGCUUUCAACACGGUGAGAAAUUUAAAAUUAAAAAUUACAAAGACACGAGGUGGUUUUUUUGCCAUCCCCAAAGUCCCUGACCACGUGGCACUAACUUUUUGUCACUUUUCUCUCUCUGAGCCGCGUGGUCCCUGGUCCUCUUAGCUGGCCAAGCACAGUAAUGUUAACAAUAGAUGCAGUUGAAAACGAGAGUAGCGCGCGCGCAUUAGGUUAGCAAUGAAACAACGCGCUAUUUACCUGUCAUGUCACCACUUGCCACUUUCAAUUCUCAACCCACUCUCCGCGUAGCUUCCCUCCCCAGGAUUUCAACUCUUCCCUGAGACUAUAUAUACCCAAUCUCCUCCUCCGUUUCUCUCCACUCACAAAAUCCUCUCUUCCAUCACUACCGAUCAUCAGAUCAAUCAUGGCCUCCUUUCUUUCUUCACAUUCUCUUCUUCAACUUGCUCUGUUAAUCUCUAUUAUACAAUUCAGUUCAGCAGCAAGGACCCUCUCCGAGUCAGAUCAAAGCCAGGAUCCCUUGUUGUUUCAAUACCACAAUGGCCCUCUUCUUACCGGUGAAGUUUCUAUCAACUUGAUCUGGUAUGGCAACUUUAAGCCAUCUCAGCGAGCCAUUGUCUCAGAUUUUAUUGCCUCUGUCUCUUCUAGAAGACCCACAACAGCCCAACCCUCAGUGGCCACGUGGUGGAAAGCCACUGAGAAAUAUUACAACCUUGUCAAGACGAAGAAAACCUCUCCUCUUCUCCUCUCCGUAGGAGCACAGAUUUUAGACGAGAGCUAUUCGUUGGGGAAAUCGCUCUCCAGCAAGCAAAUCGUGCAGCUAGCAACGAAGGGUGGUCAAAAGGGUGCAAUCAACGUUGUUUUGACAUCAUCCGAUGUUGCUGUUGAAGGGUUUUGCUCUAGUAAAUGUGGUACUCAUGGGUCCUCCUUGAGCGCUAAAACAAUCAGCGGUAAGAGAUCUAAAUUUGCUUACAUUUGGGUCGGUAACUCUGAGACUCAAUGCCCCGGCCAGUGUGCGUGGCCAUUCCACCAGCCAAUCUAUGGACCACAGAACCCUCCAUUGGUUGCACCCAACAAUGAUGUGGGUCUUGAUGGUAUGGUGAUCAAUCUGGCUAGUCUUUUGGCUGGGACUGCAACAAACCCAUUUGGAAAUGGCUACUUCCAGGGUCCGAAGGAGGCUCCUCUUGAGGCCGCGUCUGCUUGUCCUGGGGUCUAUGGUAAGGGUGCGUAUCCUGGUUAUGCUGGGGAUUUGUUAGUGGACUCUGCAACUGGUGCUAGCUAUAAUGCUCAUGGUGUUAAUGGAAGGAAAUACGUGCUUCCAGCUUUGUUUGACCCUUCAACUUCAACUUGUUCCACUUUAAUUUGAGAAGGGAUCGCAUUAGUGUGUAUGAGAGUACCGUAAAGCUGUAGGAGAGAUUAUUCUUUGAUUUAAUCAUUCUUUCAUUCAAUUAUAAUGAAAUCAACUUUUCAGCAUAUUUGAAUUAAUGUUGCCUCUUGACUAUGAUGAUUCAAUUCAGAUUCGUAAUCAUGAAAUUAAUAUUCAUUUUUACUUGUUUCUUGUUCUGUAUCAUCAACAAUUGUAUCAUUUCUUAUUGUUUAUGUCUUCCACUGUAAAUGAUGACAUUAAUGCACUAUCUAUAAACAACUUUCAAUAUUGUUUAUUAAACUUUAUAAUUAUGUCAUUGAAGUGUGAAAUGAUGUCAUUUCAUCCAAAAUUAUAAUUGAUUUUCCUCUUUUUUUUUUUAAGUAUGAUUUUAGUUUAGUCUCUAGAAUCCAAGGUUCGCUUGGAAUGGGUCCAUGAAUUUUUUUUAUAUUGCAACUCGACUCCUAGAUAUAUAUUAGUCUAUUAGCUCGUGUUUUGUUAGGGGUUGGAUUAAUUUUUUAAAAUGUUAAAAGUGCAAUGAAUUUUUUAUUGUGUUGGUAAGCUUGGUUUAAUGGUACAAUCAAUGUUGUUAAAAUCACGAUUUUAAUACAACACGGAAAGCCGUUCACAAACUCGGAUCAUAAAAACGGAUCAUAAAAUCGUAAGGAAUUUUAAAAUACAUUAAAAAAUAAUUCAUACUUCAAAUAAAAAAUUCAUAUAUAAUUCAAGCACUUUAAAAAACAUAUAUAGUUCAAGUAUCUUAAAAUACAUGAUUCAAAUAAAAUUUGAGAGUCAAUUGCUCAGAAAUUGAAGAAUUAAUAACUUUGAGAAUUUAAUUAAAAUUUGGAUUAGUUCAAUUAAUAAAAUCAUGAGUUUAAUUAAAAAAUUGAUUAGUUUGAGAACUUAAUUAAACUUUGAUUUAAUUAAUUAAAGAAAUUGAAGAAUUAAUAACUUUGAGAAUUUAAUUAAAAUUUGGAUUAGUUUAAUUAAUGAAAUCAUAAGCUUAAUUAAGGAAUUGAUAAGUUUGAGAAUUUAAUUAAACUUUAAUUUAAUUAAUUAAAGGAAUUGAGGGUUCAAUUGAAGAAACACCAAGGAGGAAGAGGAAGAGCAAGAACAAGAACAAGGAGAAAAACCCAGCAUAAAAGAGCGGUUGUGAAGCCGAAGAGCAUUAAAGAGGCAUCAACUACAAUUGAUCAGGAUUUUCCUUCUAACUCCUCCACGAGCUGCGAUGACUGUUCAAGGAUCGAUGGCUUGGAUUUCGAGGGUGUUGAUAUCUCCACGAGUGCAUGCUCUACUCCAAAAGCUGAGAGAUUUCGGAUACCAGAGAUUCAUACAUGCCCACCAGCGCCGAGAAAGCAAAGGAUGAUAUCGAUUUGCUCUUUGCAGAGGAGACCAAUUGCUUUCUUUGCUCCUCCAGAUUUAGAGCUCUUCUUCUUCUAUGCACUUCAAGUCUGAAAUGUUUGUUCAUGUCGUAUGAUCAAGAUCAUUUGAAUAAUUUCAAGAGGCGAUCCCUAGUGUUUAUUACUUCCAUCUAGUCACAGAUCAUAGCCUGUUCUUUUCAAUUCCAUUGUUGAAGUACGUACAAUGUGAUAGCUUGUCAAUUAGCUUUACCUUCUCCAUCUUGUUUGCUUGCUAAUUUUAUAGCCUGGGUUUUCUACCAGUUAGGAAGGGGAAUGCAAGCAAAACCCAUAGAAAAAACCUAAAAAACAGGGGAACGAGCAGGGGACUGUGCAAGAAUUGUUAGUACUUUCGCGGUUUCGCCUGAAAACUGAAGUGAAGAGUGAAGACAGUGCAAGAAAAAUCAGUACAAGAAAAAAGUGAAGACAGUCUGUGACUGUGCAAGAAAAAUCCAAUAGGCUUCUGACAGCUAGAUAUGAGGGGGGAAUUUUGUUUUAGCGCUUAAUUUUGUCAAAAUCGCAAAAUCGGUCUUGAAAUCGCGAUUUUGCGCAAUUUCAUCCGAUUUUUGCGAUUUCACCUGAUUUCAAUCCGAUUUUAUCCAUUUUCAAUUUUUUCAAGCGAUUCAACCCGUAAUGCAUGUUUUGACUCAUUAGUUUCCAACUAAAUUGCACAAGAGUUAGUCCGAAUUAACCUUACAAACUCGUGUUUUAGAUCAUGAUAAUGAGAUAAUUCAAUAGAAAAAAACUGAAAAAAAAACUACAAAGCCUUUUUUUAAAAAUAAAAAAACAAUAUUGAAUGGUGAUAUAAAAAAAAAGACAAAAAAAGAUGUCAACCCUUGAACCAGGUCAUUAGACUUGAAACACCUUACAUGACAUGAUCAUAAAGUCCAAUCCAUAGAAAAUGAAAUAAAAAAAUUACAAACAAGAAAUCUAAAAUUAAAAAUAUCAAUGAAAAAAAUGAAGGUUAUAAUCAAAAUAAAAAAUAAAUUAAAAAGCAACAAUAAAUUUUCACUUUGAGAUUUAAAAUGAAAAAAAAAAACCAAAAGAUUGAGGAUAGAAAAAAAUAUACACUAUCAACCUGGAUUGGAGGUUGACAUUAAAAAAAAAAAUAAACAUUUAUAAAAGGGUUAAUGAAAAAGAAUCAUAAAAAUAAGGAUUAAAUCGAAAAUCAAUAUAUGAUAAAAAAAAAUUAAACAAGUAGAAUUUUUCAACAUGUUUUUUUACAUUAAAAAAGUCAUAAAUGUAAAUCAUAAAACUUAUACACGCAUUAACUUAUACACGCAUUAAAUUAAAAACAUCAAUACAUGUUUUUUUUUCAAUGUAAAAAAAUAUGUAAUCUUAACCUCUCUUAUUAUAUGGAACCUUUUGACAAAAAAUUGUAUGUUUUGAUGGUUUAAAUUUUCUUAAAUAACAACUUUCUCUCUCUAACUUGUUAAUUUAUUGAAUAAUUUCGAGUCUUGAGUAAUUUUUCAAAUGGGUUCUGAAAACUGAAUGCAAUGAAUUAAUUUAAGACUAAGAGUCUUGCUUUUUCUCUAAGCUUAUCAAUUUGUUUUCCAAAUCUAGUUUUCAUUUAUUAUUAAAAUAUAUUUGAAGAAUGGACAGAGUGAAAUUUGAUGGCCAUGGGAUCAAAUUUCUCAAAAGAAAAUAUGGAGGUGAGGAUUACAAUUACAUAAUAUAUAAAGCAAUGUCUCGAUCUCUGAAGUGAGCAGAGAGUUUUGAGAUAUAGCAUGCUUAGCCCUGUAUCAAACAUGGAUCAGAUAAAUUUUGAAUUUUUUUUAUUUAAAAUUAAUUUUUUUAAUGAUUUCUUUAUUGUUUUAAUGUGUUUAUAUUAAAAAUAAUUUUUAAAAAAUAAAAAAUAUAUUAUUUUAAUAUAAUUAAAAAAACUAUUUUAAAAAGUAAUUUUUAUUAUAUUUUUAAGUACCCUCAUAAAUUACGUCGUUCCUAAAAUUAUAGUUGUGUUGUUCUCAAAAGCAUAAUCUAAAUUUGUUUUUCUUCAGAUCAUUAAUAAUUAUUUUCUCAGGUAUAAUUUUUAUUCUUUGCAUUAAAUUAAUUUUUUGAAAUAAAUAAAUAAUAUAUUUACCACUAUCAACUCGCGAGGAAAUGAUUUUCAAUGAGAAUUGGGUUCAUAUUUUCGGUGUUGUAUUAUUAAUUAUUAAGAUCGAGCGUUGCUAUUUUUCUAUAACCUUUUCUAUUUUUCAUCUUAUUGCGCUAUUUUAAAAAAUGACCGUUAAAUUGUUACUUGGAUUUUGCCUAACACUAACUUCUUCAAAGCUUUUAGACCUUCGACUAGCCGCGGUGCCAUCAUAAUAUUCCAGUAAAGUAGCUACAAUAUUUUCCAAAUAUUAAUUAACUCUUCUUUAUUUUAGCGUGCCUUAAUUAAAAUGGUAUUGAAUAAAAAAUAGUAAAUAAAAGACAAUUAAAUAGUUAAUUUAUUGAAUAAAAAAUUUAAUUUUUAUAAAUUAUUUAUCGAUUUUGGAUAUUCAUCAUCUAACUAUUAUUUAUUAUUUAAUAAAAAAUAAAUAGUUAUAUAUAAUAUAUAUGUAUAUAUAAAUGAUAAAAUUAUAAUAGUAUAGUGUUUUAUAUCAAUAUUGCAAUAUGUAUAUAUCAUGUUGUAUUAUAAAGAUUUAAAUUUUUUAUAAAUAUAUCUAUAUAAUAUAAUAUAUUUCUACUUGGACUCAGGCAAGUUUCAUAUUGGAUUUGAUAAUAUUCAUAUUUUAUCCAUUAUAUAUUAGAUAAGGUAAUUAUCAAAUAAUAUCCACUAAUUCAGGUCAAAUCAAUCAGGUCAAUAUUUAUCGAUUUUGAACUAAAUUGUUGUCUAUACUAAUAAAUUGAUCCAUUAAGUUAUGAGGGAUUCAGAAUGGAAUCAUGGUAUAUCCACCGACCAGUUUCACCGAAUAGGCUAACUAGCUAUUUGACCAACGCUUUACUGUGAAUUAGAUAAAAAAAAAAAAUAGAAACAAAUAAGCUUACUUUUUCAGCGUUUUUUUUUCUAUAAAAAUCCUAAUCAUAAAUAAAUUAAAAAGCCUAUACAUACAUUCAAUUAAAUAAAUCAAGAAUCAUUUGUGCUAAUAAAUGCAAAAAAAGAAGAAGAAGGUGUUAACGCAUCUAUAAGAUUAAAUAUCAUCUUUGGGCCCAUUAAGUUGUGAUGAAUUUAGAAUAGAAUCAUGACAUAUGCACCGAUUAGUUUUACCAAAUAGGCUAAAUUAGCUAUUUGACUCGCAGUUCAACAUGGAUUGGAUAAUUUGCUCUGGCAAAAAAAAAAAUAUAUGCAGCCUUUUCAACAUUUCUUUUGACUAAAAAAUUCCUAAUCAUUAAAAAAAACAUAUACAAUAAUUUUAUUAAAUAAAUCGAGAAUUAUCUAUGUCAUCAAUAAAUGUGAAACAAAACGUUUUAAAACAUCUAUUCAAUUCACCUCAUUGUGGGCCAGAUAAAAAAAAAAUUAUAAUGCAAAAGAAUGAAUGAGUAUGUGUUGUUAACAUGUUUUGUGACAUCGAGUAAAAAAUAUAACUAUAAAUUGAAAAUCCAAUGCUUAUAUUUAAUAAAAUAAAACAAGGAUCAUGUGCAUUAAUAAAAACAUUUAUGAUCUCAAGUUAAUUUUUAAUAUAAUAGAAAAAUAAAACAUUAUUGUGAGUGUGUUUCACUAUAUCAUGAUUGAUACAAUCCAAACUAUACCAAAUAAUCUAUUAGAAGUUCAAAUCGGUCCAAUUACAAGAUCAAGGGUAAAAAAACUUAAAGAUGCAUUCAAUGAGUUUAUUUAGAGUAAUUGAUCCAAAAUGAAUUUCAAGAAAGUUACAACUUCAACAAGUGAUAAUCAGAUCUUAGUCAAUUUAAUAUAUGUGUAAGAGGAGUUCGAUCCAUCUACAACAUAGGCCUAAUUAUUUCACAAUAAUGGGCUAAUUAAUUUUGGCAUUAGAGGUGGUUUGGGGUUUGUUUUCCUAAUACAGUUUUACUCUAACAAUUAUCAUUUUUAAAUCAUAAUUGUUAACAAUGCAUCGGGUUGAAAUUUUACCUGAAGUUUUUGAAAGUUAUGUUCUAUUUUUACUUAAAAUUGUAAAGCAAUAGGAGACUAGAAAGGCUUUGCGAUAAUGUCCAGAAGCUACUAUGCGAAAAUUGUAUUAGUUUUCUAAUUGAUUUAAGACUUUUUUUUCUAUUUUAUUUAGAACUCUUUUAUUAUUUAUCCAAUAUUAUUUAUAAAGUUUCGACAAAUUACAAAGAGAGUUAUUUAACUUAUAUUUAGGGUUUUUUUUUUGGACAAACUUUAAUUUUGUAAUUAUUAUUGUGUGUGUGAGGUUUUGCUCAUACCUUUUGAUUUUUCAUUGAACUACUAUGACUUAUCAAAGAAUUAAUCAAGCUUUAUGAUGUUUUUCAUACUUCUCGUUCGUGUUUUUUUAUAGGCAAUGAAUGAGGGUUCGAUUACUUAUAGUUUUGGUGUCUCGGCACAAGUUAUCGUUAUGUCAAGCUCAAUUUGUUUUAAUCUUAAUGGUCAUUGUUUAUAACCAAGAAUAAAUAAUUUUUAUUUAUAUAAAAUAUAAAAUAAAAUAUAUAGAUGAAUUAUAAUAAUAUCUAAGAAACAUUAAACACAUAUAAAAUAAUUACAAAAUUAUCACUAUUUAAAAAAAGUUAAAUAAAUAAUCUAAAAAGAUUUAGAGAGAAUAGAUAUUGAUUUAAAUAUAAAUUAAAAAAAUAUUUUAAUAAAAUACAUAUUAAAAAAAUAUCAAUUAAAAAAAUAAAAAUUAAAAAACAAAAUCAAGUUGGUUGGUGUUGGGCGUGGCAAGCUAGGUUUGUGUGCCUUGCUCAUUUUGAAAAAAAGCAUGAAUAACACUGACAUACACUCUUUUUUUAUUAUUUUUUUAAUGGAUGAAUAGCAUAAAACAUCAAUUUCUUCACCGAUAACAUAAUAUUUUCUCCAUGAAAAAUUUUCAAGGACAAUAAACAAUUUCAGGAAGACAGUCCCAGAUACAGCCAGUCAAAGAUCAUAUAAAAGCUCAUAUAAAAGCCACACAAAACCAGGCUAGCCAUUGAAGUUAGAUGCACCUUAGAUUUAAGACUAGAUUCUGGGUUUUAACUGGGUUAUUUUUUUUUUUAAAUUAAAACAAAGUUGUUUUAGUAAACUAUAUAUAUAAAAGUCAACAGGUUUACGGUCGGGUCUUGACCGGGUCAACCUGCUGGAUCAGCCGGAUCAUACCGGGUUUUUAUUCAUUCGUUGUUUUAAACACAACCUGAUUUCAAUCUCGGAUUGGCCGGGUUCCAGAUCAACUUGCCGUGCCGAACCGGGUUUCGAAACUAUGAGAUACACACUCCCUAAUUACAGAUUUAAACAUAUCAAGAGAGUUAUUUUUUAGGCGAUUAGAACAACCACUAGUCAAACCUAUUAACCCAGCAAUGGAAAACCUAAUUUUCUUGUGAGGUUUUUUCGCGAGCGGAGCUGUCUACAAAAAGCUAUCUCAUUCACUUUCGGUCCUCUUAGCUGGCCAAGCACUGUAAUGUUAAAUUGUUAACAAUAGAAGCAGUUGAAAACGAGAGUAGCCGCGCGCGCAUUAGGUUGGCAAUGAAACAACGCGCUAUUUAUCUGUCAUGUCACCACUGGCCACUUUAACCCACUCUCCGCGUAGCUUCCCUCCCCAGGAUUUCAACUCUUCCCUGAGACUAUAUAUACCCAAUCUCCUCCUCCGUUUCUCUCCACUCACAAAAUCCUCUCUUCCAUCACUACCGAUCCUCAGAUCAAUCAUGGCCUCCUUUCUUUCUUCACAUUCUCUUCUUCAACUUGCUCUGUUAAUCUCUAUUAUACAAUUCAGCUCAGCUGCAAGGACCUUCUCCGUGUCAGAUCAAAGCCAGGAUCCCUUGUUCUUUCAAUACCACAAUGGCCCUCUUCUCACCGGUGAAGUUUCUAUCAACUUGAUCUGGUAUGGCAACUUUAAGCCAUCGCAGCGAGCCAUUGUCUCAGAUUUUAUUGCCUCUGUCUCUUCUAGAAGACCCACAACAGCCCAACCCUCUGUGGCCACGUGGUGGAAAGCCACUGAGAAAUAUUACAACCUUGUCAAGACGAAGAAAACCUCUCCUCUUCUCCUCUCCGUAGGAGCACAGAUUUUAGACGAGAGCUAUUCGUUGGGGAAAUCGCUCUCCAGCAAGCAAAUCGUGCAGCUAGCAACGAAGGGUGGUCAAAAGGGUGCAAUCAACGUUGUUUUGACAUCAUCCGAUGUUGCUGUUGAAGGGUUUUGCUCUAGUAAAUGUGGUACUCAUGGGUCCUCCUUGAGCGCUAAAACAAUCAGCGGUAAGAGAUCUAAAUUUGCUUACAUUUGGGUCGGUAACUCUGAGACUCAAUGCCCCGGCCAGUGUGCGUGGCCAUUCCACCAGCCAAUCUAUGGACCACAGAACCCUCCAUUGGUUGCACCCAACAAUGAUGUGGGUCUUGAUGGUAUGGUGAUCAAUCUGGCUAGUCUUUUGGCUGGGACUGCAACAAACCCAUUUGGAAAUGGCUAUUUCCAGGGUCCGAAGGAGGCUCCUCUCGAGGCCGCGUCUGCCUGUCCUGGGGUCUAUGGUAAGGGUGCGUAUCCUGGUUAUGCUGGGGAUUUGUUAGUGGACUCUGCAACUGGUGCUAGCUAUAACGCUCAUGGAGUUAAUGGAAGGAAGUACGUGCUUCCAGCUUUAUUUGACCCUUCAACUUCAACUUGUUCCACUUUACUUUGAGAAGGGAUCGGAUCGCAUCAGUGUGUAUGAGAGUACCGUAGAGCUGUAGGAGAGAUUAUUCUUUGAUUUAAUCAUUCUUUCAUUCAAUUAUAAUGAAAUCAACUUUUCAGCAUAUUUGAAUUAAUGUUGUCUCUUCUUCUAAUUGAAUUUGAUUAAGUGACUAGAGAAAGCAAAAAGGACAGUUUUUUUUUUUUUCAAUUCAGAUUCGUAAUCACGAAAUUAAUAUUCAUUUCUUAUUUUUUAUUGUGCUGUAUCAUCAACAAUUAAUAAACAAAAAUGUUAAAAGAGUGAAUAAUUUUUUUGUUGUGUUAUUGAACCUAAUUUAAUGAGACACUUGAAAUCUCGCAACUUGAUUUACCGUUUGCCCACCUCUAGUUUCCGACUAAAUUGUAUAAGAGUUAGUCUAAACUGAAUUGAUUAAUUUUAUGGGUUUUACUACAAUCUUGAUGACCGGUAAAAAUAUAAUUUAGCUUCUAACAAAACUCAAAGGUAGCAAUUUUUUUAAAAUAUUAUUGAGAUAAUAAUAUAUUGGAUCGAUCUCAGCUCCCUAGCGAACCAUGUCAUGGACUUCAUUGAGUUUCAUAACUUUUUUUAUGAGUUAUAUUUUAAUUAUAUGAUAAACAUAUAUGAUAACUGAGCACCAACCUAAAAAUAAAAACUUAUUUUGAGAUAUUAAUAACCCAAGUAGAAAAUAAAAAUAAAUAAAUUAUGUAGUUUAUUUCGAAACAAAUUUAAUAUUGAAAUAUAAAAUUAAAAACAAACAAUUAAAGGAUGAAAAAAAAAAGCAUAUUGAAUGAUGAUAUAAAAAAAAAUAUCAAACCUUGAGUUAAUGAAAUCAAAAUUUCAGCAUAUUUGAAUUAAUGUUGCCUCUUGACUAUGAUGAUUCAAUUCAGAUUCGUAAUCAUGAAUUUAAUAUUCAUUUCUUCUUGUUUAUUGUUCUGUAUCAUCAACAAUUGUAUCAUUUCUUAUUGUUUAUGUCUUCCACUGUAAAUGAUGACAUUAAUGCACUUUCUAUAAACAACUUUCAAUAUUGUUUAUUAAACCUUAUAAUUAUGGUAUUGAAGUGUGAAAUGAUGUCAUUUCAACCAAAAUUGUAAGUGUUGUUCUUUUUUUUUUAAAAAAAAAAAUUUAUGUUUUUAGUUUAGUCUCUAGAAUCCGAGGUUCGCUUGGAAUGCAUCCAUGAAAUUUUUUUAUAUUGCAACUAGACUUCUAGAUAUAUAUUAGUUUAUUAGUUCAUGUCUCUCGUUACGAGCUGGAUUAAUUUUUUAAAAUGUUAAAAAUAUGAAUAAUUUUUUGAUUAAGAUAGUUAGCCUGGUUUAAUGGGACAAUCUUGAAACCUCAGAACCUGUUUGUCCACCUCUAGUUUCCAACUAAAUUAAACAAGAGGUAGUCCAAAUUAACCUUACAAACUUGUGUUUUAGGUCAUGAUAAUGGGAUAAUUCGAUAAUUUUUUUUUUAAAAAAAAAUACAAAGCCUUUUUUUUUUAAAAAAAAAAAACAGUAUUGAAUGGCAAUAUAAAAAAAGAGACAAAAAAAGAUGCCAACCAAAAGAUCGAGGAUGAAAAAAAUAAAAAAUAAAAACAAUAUUAAACCAGGUCAUUAGACUUGAAACACCUUACAUGACAUGAUCAUAAAGUCCAAUCCCUAGAAAAUGAAAUAAAAAAAAUUACAAACAAGAAAUCUAAAAUUAAAAAUAUCAAUGAAAAGAGUGAAGGUUAUAAUCAAAAUAAAAAAUAAAUAUAAGAGCAAUAACAAAUUUUCAUUUUGAGAUUUAAAAUGAAAAAAAAAGAAAAACAAAAAUCAAAAAUCAAAAGAUUAAGGAUGCAAAUAUAUACUAUCAACCUGGAUUGGAGGUUGACAUUAAAAAAAAUAAACUUUUAUAAAAAGGUUAAUGAAAAAGAAUUAUAAAAAUAAGGAUUAAAUCAAAAAUAUCAAUACAUGAUAAAAAAAAAAUUAAACAAGUAAAAAACAUGAUUAUCGUCUUUUUAUACAUCUUUUAUUUUCAAACUUUUAUUACAAACCCAUUGUUUUAGGCCUUUUUCUACCAAAUCUUUUGAUGCUACAAAAGAACAAAUCAACUAUCAGUGAGUAAGAAGACAAUAAAAAAAAAACCCUAUGAAAUUCAAAGGCAAUUUUCGUGAUUGUCGUCUCUUGACCAUAGGAAACAAGAACAUAUGGCCAACUAAAAAGCGCCAAAACUAAUCUUUAGCCUUUCAAAAAGUCUUUUGGCCUCUUCCAUAAUAGCUCCACUAUAAAGAAGACCUCUUGAGCUUUAAAAAGCAGAGUAAGAUACACUGAAGACUAACCUUACUAAAUUUUAAAACCAAAUAAAAUAUUAAAUAUACAUGUGAAAUGAGGUUUUUUUAGAAAAUAAUAAAUGUAUAGUUACUAGUGAUUUAUACGGUAUGACAUGUUUCAUAAAAUAUAUUUAUUCUCAUUAAAUAUUAACAAAAUUAUAAAAUUAAAUAAACUAAGAUGUUUACCAAUAUGCAUCCCUUUACUCUAAACAAAAAAAGUGAGAUUUAAAAUGGUUAAUUUCAAAUUUUUCAUAAUACCCAUUAAAGGUAUACAAUAAAGUAGACAGAGAGAGAGAGAGUAGAAUUAUUGUUUUUUGUAUGAAAGUAUUUUAUAAAAACAGCUAAUGUAAUACAACUUUGAGCUUUGAGUUUUUACCUAUUAUAAAUAGAGUUAUUUAGCUUAUAUUUAAGGUUUUUUAGGGGACAAAAUUUAAUUUCAGUAAUUAUUAUUGUAUGUGUGAGGUUUUGCUUAUAUCUUUUUGUUUUUCAUUAAACUGCUAUAACUUAGAAAGAUUUAAUCAAGCUUUAUAAUGUCUUCUAAAAUUCUCGUUCGCGUCUCUUUAUAAGCGAUGAGUGAGGUUCGAUUACUUAUAGUUUUGGUGUCUCAGCACAGGUUAUCAUUCUAUCAAGCUCAAUUCCAAACAUGAUCUUAACUUUCUUGAGAAUGUUCAAUUUAAAUUUUGGUUUCCAUAGCUUUAUCACUACCAGAAAUUCAAUUGAAACUAAUGGACUUACCGACGAUAUUUUUCAGUCGGUAAUUUAUGGUGAUAUUUACCAACAAAUGGAAGUCCCUUAGUAAUUCUGUCGUUAUAUAUCAAUGAAAUUAGUUUGUCGAUAUACACUGACAGAAUUACCGAGGGACUGUUUAGAAUUUUGAAAAAAAAAAAAAGCAGGUCGAUGACGUGGAAGUUUUUGUGGAUGUUUUUACCGACAGAAUUAGCAAGGGAUUCAAACCGGGAUCUCUAUACAGUGACGUGACCCCUUCACCGUCAGAAUUGCCGAUGGAAUCACUGGUGGAAUAUUUUUAUUGGUGAUUCCCUUAAUAAAAGUGAAUAUAUCACCAUGCUAUCGACCCUCCUCUCCACUUCUUUAUUUCUCCUUCUUUUUCCCCUAGCCCUGCAUGUAAAGAAACUACCCCACCCCCAACUGCAAAAACCUACCUCCUAAACUAUCCCCCUCUUUUAAACACAAGGCAUCCUUCUUUAACUUUUGUAGCUACCGCAAUAUCAGUGUUCUGAUUUAUUGUGGAUUUUGUCAGUUUUUUGUAAAUAAAUCUAUUUUUUUUUAAUUUUAACAUUGAAAUAUGAAUUUUAUUAUUAAUAAUAUUUUUUUAGCAUAUGUAUUUUGUUAGUGUAUGUACAUAUUUUAUUGGUUUUUCUCAAACAAACUUGUAGUAUGAAUAUAUAAUUUUGUACUUGUUAUGGUUUGAUUUAGAUUUUGUAAAAUUGUAUUUGUUUGUAAAUUGUUGAAACUUAUGUUGAAUUACCGAAUUAGGUGUGUUAUGAUAAAAUAAAUAAUAGAUUGUUUAACGUGUUCAUUUUAAUUUUUAUCAAUGCUAUUGCGGAGUUGUAAUUUCCAUAAAUUUAUUUGUAUAGACAUUGAUAAUUGGUAAUGAAUAUUUAAAAUAAGUUUUAAUUAGUUUGUUGGAUAAUCUCGAGUUAAACCAAUAUUUUUGAAAAUUUAUUUACUUAACAUAGUUAAUUAAUACAUGUUGUCAUCAUUAUUCUAUAGAGGUUCGAUAGAAGUCAUGGAUAAUUAUUCAUGGAUGUAUCGAGAUUCACCACAAGAAUUGCGGAGGAUGGAUUAUUAUAAUGGGGUUUAGGGUUUUAGUAAUUUUGCAACAUCUAUUCCGAGAAAUUUUAGUGGGGGCGUUAUUAAGUGUCCAUGCAGGAAGCGUAAAAAUAAAAAGCAUAUGCUUCUAGAUAUUGUAAUGAUGUAUCUCUUAUACAGAGGGUUCAUGGAGGAUUACCUGUAUUGGUAUGCACAUGGAGAGCUAUUUGUUUGUAAUGAGAGCAUGGUAGAAAGAAUGAUUGGGUCAACUUAUAGUGCUAGCAACAAGCAUGGAGUUGUAAAUGACAACAAUAAUCAUUACAGGAAUAUGGUUACGGAUACAAUGAGAAUGAAUCAAGGUAAUGCUAGUCAAUGUCCAAUUGCAGAAGAAGAACCGAAUGAAGACGGGACCAAGUUUUUUUAUUUGUUGAAAGAUUUUGAUGAACUAUUAUGGGAUGGCUGUAUAAAUCAUAGUAAAUUAUCGGGUGUUCACCAUCAAGUCGGAUUGUGGGUUGAGUAAGGUCAGUUAUAAAAAAAUUAUCUAAUGGGUGAGAAGUAUUUUACCUAAACAGAACACGCUGAAAGAGAACUUUUAUGUUGCUAAUUCUAUGAUGAAACCCUUCGGUUUAGGAUAUUAGAAAAUUGACAUGUGCCCUAACUUCUGCAUGUUGUACUACCUUGAAAAUGCUAAGCUGAUUGAGUGCAUGACAUGUGGGCAUUCCCGUUACAAACCCAGAAUUGGCAUGGGAAAGGCUCUCAUGGCAUUAAACACAACUUGUUAUACACUAUGCACAUCAUCGACGUCCCUACAGACGGAAUGCGUCCGUCAGUAUUUUAUAAAGAGUUGCAAAAUAUUUACUGAAUAUGCCACACUCACCGACAUCCCUUCAGACAGAAUCAAUUCGUCGGUAUUUCAUAGAGUUGCAAAAUAUUUACUGAAUAUGCCACACUCACCGAUGUCCCUAUAGACAGAAUCAGUCCAUCGGUAUUUCACAGAGAGUUGUGAAAUAUUUACUAAAUAUACCACAAUCAUCGACGUCCCUACAGACAGAAUCCAUCCGUUGGUAUUUAACAGAGUUUAGGAAUUGUUCACCUCGUAUGUCGGUGCAAUACAUAAUUACCGCGUUGCCUUACCAACGAAUUGUGAAAAUUCUGGAGGGUGAUUUAAAUUUUUUGUGUGAAAUUAAAAAAUUUAAAGUGAAUUCACCGACGUAAUAAUUAAAAAUAAUAUUAUCUCAACGAGUCUGUUGGCAAAAUCACAGUAUAACUCUCAUCGAGAGCCCCUUCAGUUCAUUGUUUUUGCUCUCGUUCGUUUUAUCCAUUUUCUUCCUCUCAUUCUUUCAAAACAUUUCUUGUUUUUUUCUUGUAAUCUCUAGCUAUAAUUUUAUCUUCAUUUUCAACAAAUUAAAAGUUAUGUAAUGUGAUUCAACUCAUUCUUUGUUUUAUUAACUAUAUAUAGUUUUUAAUUUUCUUUGUUUUUUUUGUAUUGUACGUGGAUAAAGUCUAGAAAUAAACAAACUAUUAAGGUAAGCAUUUUUCAUUUCAAAAGUCUAUAGUUUGUUUUUUUUAAUUUGUUGUCUAUUUUAUUGUUUGUAUUGCCAUAAUAAUUGAAUACUUUGUUGAAUUUUAAUUGUUAUUGUUGAAUUUUCCUUGUAAAUUUUAAUUGAAUAUAUAUGAUUAAAUUUAAUUAUUUUAUCUCAAUUUUACUCUAUUCUUGCGUAAUGGAGUGUUUGAUUGUUUCCAUGAAUUUUAAUUGGUAUUGAUGAAUUUUUAUAGAUGUUAGUUGAAUAUAUGGAAUUAAAUUAUUUUUCUUUGUUUUAUUGUUAAAUUUGUAUAGAUGUUAGGUUAUAUAUAAGACUUUUUUUCUUUAUUUUAUGGUUAGAAACUUUUUAUUAUCAUUUUGAAAAUGAGAUGGAAUUGAAAAAUAUGAAAUUUCCAUUAUAAAUAAAAUAAAAUCAACUGAUUUGUGGCUUAUAUAUUGUCAAUAUUUGAAGGUUUGAAAAUUUUGGAUAGUCUCUAGUAUAUGGGAGAUGUUGCCUGAAAGUUUUUUAAAUAAUCAAAUUUGAUUGUAUAGUUAUUCUUUCAAUUUGUAUAAAUGCGUAAAACAAAAUCAAUAGCUUGUCGCUCACAUAUGAUCGUAGCUAGUUCUUCUCGUAGUGAGGAUGACAUGUCCUUAAGUGUCGAUCAAGAAAAGGCACAUGUGUCGACUCGCGAUGCUGCCUCUUCUAGCAUGGUUCCACAGCGCAAAGGCAGCGUGCCUUCACAGCGAGGUCAAUUCACCCACAAGUACGAGGCACAUUGAAAGGACGACCUUUCAAUAUAAGUUUGUUGUGUUUUAGUUUUUUUUACUUAUAACAUAAUUUGUGAACAACUAAUUAAUAUUUUAGUAUUUUUAUGUUCACAUACAUUGAGGUCACUCGAGUAAUAACAUCGGGGUUUAAAUCGCAAUGGAGAUUCCAUUAUUUUAACGGAGUCAGGUUUCCAAACAUCCUGAUCCGAGACCUUAUAUCGAUGUAUGGUUUCAAAGAUAUGAGAUUGGUGUUAACUUAUAAUUUUAUUUAUUUUUAAUAAUUUAUUAUUUUAAAUAAUUUAUUAUUUUUAUUUUAAAUAAAGUUUUUAUACACAUAACAAAAUCAAGUGGGAUAGCGUGCAUGACAAUGUUGCUAGGCCGGUGCGGGAGAAUCACACGGCAAAUAGGUAACAUCGAAAACAAUAUAAUAUUUUAAUAUAUAUAUAUAUAUAUAUAUAUUUCAAAUCUAAUUUGUCAUUAACUCGUAUAAAAUUCGUUGAUGGAAGUAGGUUGCAUGAUUUUUGAUAUGAAGCGCAUAAAAAAGCCAAAAAAUACGCUAGAGAUAAUGGUUUAUGAGGCUGGAAUGACAUGGCGGUUUGGAGGAAUUUCAGGCCACCAUACAUCCUGGAGGAUAUAUGACCGCAAUAUAUCCAGCAUGUGAUGUCUAAGCAGAUUACACGACGCUCAUAGUUUUCAUGCCAACAAUCAAAAUCGGCAAAUUCAUGGUUCGGCGACCACACACACUGGCGAGUCCGUUGCAUUCACUGCACAUGCAAAGAAGAUAGUAAGAUUAAUUUUAAUAAAAUCUAUCAUUAAUUAAUUUGUUGUUAUUUAUAAAUAUAUUGAACUUGCAAUAGUAAAAAAAUUUUUACUUGCAGGCUACGUAUCUUGGACAUGAGCAAAGCCCAAUGAAGCUGUUUAUGGAUACCCACGUGUGAAGAUCAGAUCGCCAAAGAGGGGUAAAAUAGUUGGUCGACAAUCAUGCUCAACACUUCGUGGUAUGUUUGUUCAAUCAUUUUAUUUUGUAAGAAAUUAUUUUCUUCAAAUUGAAUAUGAUGAUUUCUUUUUUAAUUUUCAAGAGACAUAUAAUAGCCAGUUGAGGGAGAGAUAUAGGGAAGAUCCUUCGACACACCUGGAUUUCGUUCCGGAUUUGUGGAUGAAGGCAGAAUCAUUUGGUGGACUAGAUAAAAAUAAGGUGUACGGACUCUCCAACACUAUGACCGAUAACUUGCGAGCGGCUUGUAGUGUCUCAAUCGUUGGGAGCUCCUAAUCAAUAUCGAGCACCCAGUCUGAGGAGAUCAUGGCCUUGAAACAACAAUAUCAGCAACUCUCGAUGGAUUAUGAAUAACUCCGCCAGCUCGUCAUGGACAUGAGAUCACAGAUGAGUGGUACGUGUGUGUCCCUUUUCUAGCCGUAUAGUCUCGGGAACGACCAACCUCCUCCUCCAACUCCGCUAUUGUUCUAGUUCAAUUUUUUUUUAAAACACUUUAAAAUUGUAAUGAAUAUUUGGAUGAAUAUUAUUUAACUUUUUUAUUUUUUAUACAAUUUAAUUUGCUUAAUUGGUUUCUUUACUAUUAUUCAAUACAAUUUUAUAUUAUUUAUUCUACGGAAUUUUAUUUUUAAAUUAUAACCAAUGAAUUUACAGACGGAAUUGUUCUGUCGGUAUUUCACAUAGAGUUACAAAAUAUUUACUGCAUAUGCCACAAUCACCGACGUCUCUACAAACAAAAUCUGUCCGUUGGAAUUUCACAGAGAGUUGUGAAAUAUUUAUUGAAUAUGACACAAUCACAGACAACGUGAUCCAUCGGUGAUUUACCGUUGGCAAUCUAGAUAGAAUAAUUCCGUCAGUAUAUUUCCAGCGGCAGUGUUUUUUUUACGCAUAUUUUCCGUCUGUAAAAUCAUCGGGUUUCUUUUUUUACCAACAAAAGUAGUGACCAAAUGGAAUCACCGACGAACGGUAUUUCGAUGAACGAAUUCCAUCAGUGACAUCAAUAAAUUGAGAUUCACAUUAAUAAUUGUCUUAACCGAGAAAUGUAAAGAUGUUAUUUAUGCCAAACAAAAUAAAUCUAAAAAUAUAUGGCCAAUAAAUUGAGAAAGUGCUAUUAAUAGCAAUGAAAUUCUAAAAAAAAAAGAUAAUCAUUCCCUAGGAGUAAAAGAUAGAUAAAUAUGACAUCUAACUUCAAUUUUUUCCUUUGACUAACACAAUUUUUUUAAAUUUUAAUGGCCAUUGUUUCUCACCAAGAAUAAAUGAUUUUUGUUUUUAAGAAUAAAUUUUACUUAUAUAAAUAUAAAAUAUAAUAAAAUUUAUAGAUAAAUUAUAAUAAUAUCUUAGAAACAUUAAACACAUACAAAAUAGUUAUAAAAUUAUAAGUCAGAUUCAUGUAUAUUUGUUUUUCUCUACAUACAUAUUACUGAUUUUAAUAUAUCAAGAGAGUUAUUUUUUAGGCGAUUAGAACGACCACUAGUCAAACCUAUUAACCAAGCAAUGGAAAACCUAAUCUUCGUGACACAAUAAAUAAUCUAAAAAAUACAAUGACACAACUAGGUCUAGAAGCUAAAGAGCAAUUUCUAGCCAGACAAUCCCAGCCAAAACCAGUCAAAGAUGAUAAAAGAACCACAUAAAACCAAGCUACUCCAUUUAAGUUAGAUGCACACUCCCUAAUUUUAUUUUAUUUUUUUUAUAUUCAUGUAUGUCCAUUUAAAACCUAAUUUUCUUGUGAGGUUUUUUCGCGAGCGGAGCUGUCUACAAAAAGCUAUCUCAUUCACUUUCAGUCCUCCUAGCUGGCCAAGCACUGUAAUGUUAACGAUAGAUGCAUUAGGUUGGCAAUGAAACAACGCGCUAUUUACCUGUCAUGUCACCACUGGCCACUUUAACCCACUCUCCGCGUAGCUUCCCUCCCCAGGAUUUCAACUCUUCCCUGAGACUAUAUAUACCCAAUCUCCUCCUCCGUUUCUCUCCACUCACAAAAUCCUCUCUUCCAUCACUACCGAUCCUCAGAUCAAUCAUGGCCUCCUUUCUUUCUUCACAUUCUCUUCUUCAACUUGCUCUGUUAAUCUCUAUUAUACAAUUCAGCUCAGCUGCAAGGACCUUCUCCGUGUCAGAUCAAAGCCAGGAUCCCUUGUUCUUUCAAUACCACAAUGGCCCUCUUCUCACCGGUGAAGUUUCUAUCAACUUGAUCUGGUAUGGCAACUUUAAGCCAUCGCAGCGAGCCAUUGUCUCAGAUUUUAUUGCCUCUGUCUCUUCUAGAAGACCCACAACAGCCCAACCCUCUGUGGCCACGGGUGGAAAGCCACUGAGAAAUAUUACAACCUUGUCAAGACGAAGAAAACCUCUCCUCUUCUCCUUCUCCGUAGGAGCCACAGAUUUUAGACGAGAGCUAUUCGUUGGGGAAAUCGCUCUCCAGCAAGCAAAUCGUGCAGCUAGCAUCGAAGGGUGGUCAAAAGGGUGCAAUCAACGUUGUUUUUGACAUCAUCCGAUGUUGCUGUUGAAGGUUUUGCUCUAGUAAAUGUGGUACUCAUGGGUCCUCCUUGAGCGCUAAAACAAUCAGCGGUAAGAGAUCUAAAUUUGCUUACAUUUGGGUCGGUAACUCUGAGACUCAAUGCCCCGGCCAGUGUGCGUGGCCAUUCCACCAGCCAAUCUAUGGACCACAGAACCCUCCAUUGGUUGCACCCAACAAUGAUGUGGGUCUUGAUGGUAUGGUGAUUCAAUCUGGCUAGUCUUUUGGCUGGGACUGCAACAAACCCAUUUGGAAAUGGCUACUUCCAGGGUCCGAAGGAGGCUCCUCUUGAGGCCGCAUCUGCUUGUCCUGGGGUCUAUGUAAGGUGCGUAUCCUGGUUAUGCUGGGAUUUGUUAGUGGACUCUGCAACUGGUGCUAGCUAUAAUGCUCAUGGUGUUAAUGGAAGGAAAUACGUGCUUCCAGCUUUAUUUGACCCUUCAACUUCAACUUGUUCCACUUUAAUUUGAGAAGGGAUCGCAUCGCAUUAGUGUGUAUGAGAGUACCGUAGAGCUGUAGGAGAGAUUAUUCUUUGAUUUAAUCAUUCUUUCAUUCAAUUAUAAUGAAAUCAAAUUUUCAGCAUGUUUGAAUUAAUGUUGCCUCUUGAAUAUGUUGAUUCAAUACUAAACUGACUUGUCUCUUCUUCGAAUUGAAUUUGAUUAAUUGACUAGAGAAAGCAAAAAGGACAGUUUUUUUUUUCAAUUCAGAUUCCUAAUCACGAAAUUAAUAUUCAUUUCUUAUUUUUUAUUGUGUUGUGUUGUAACCUAUUUUUGGGUCCCCAAAUAAAUAAAAUAAAAUAAAUAGCCAAAUAAGGUUAGAAAAAUAACAGGAGGCAGAAGCGCUCAGCAAAUGGUCAGAAAAAUCGGUCAAGGAGGUUAAAAAUACAAGGAUGAAUUUUUUACAAUAUAUUCUUGAAUGAUAAGAGCCAUAUGGAGAAGGAAAGUUUGAAUUUUGAUGAGAAAAACCCAAAUUUGGAUGUUUAUGGACUUAAUUGGAUUUUUAUUUGAAUUUAUAGGAUUUGAUUGCAAGAAAAAUUGUUUUUAAGUCAAUUUGGGCUUUAAUUGAAGAAAUUUAAGUUCUGGGGCCAAAUUAUAAUUUUUAGGAAUUUAUUAAGUCAAAUCAGGGGCUUAAUUGCAUAAAUAUUGAAGUUUAAUGGCCAAUUAGGGACUUAAUUGAGAAAAUCCGAAACUAGGGACCAAUUUGGAAAAGGUGCCUUAAAUUACUGUUCACUUUCUUCCUCAAAAAGCUGCCUGAGUGGCUGCUUUCCAGGCGCGUUUUCCGGCUCGUGUGGCCUCCAAAUCCGACACAACAUACACCAACAUGUCCACAUGAACCCCUUUAUCCCGGAGAAUGAUCAGGUCGGGUCGAAAAAGUCAUAAACGGCUCCGGUGAGUGGCUCAAAGUGGCCACCUCGGGCAGUUCACAGCCUGGAGCUGCCAAAUUUGGCAGCUCGAGGUGCACACUUUGAGCCAACGGUUGAGAUGCUUCCCAACUGAAUCAAGGGCUGAAAUUUUUCCCCAACGUAGACAAGAUUGCCCUCUUCCACAGCCUAUAAAUAGAGUCGGAUUUGAUGAUCUGAGGGUUGAAAAAUUCAGGUCCAAAGUCAGCCAAAAACCAGCAUUUUCGCCCAAUUUCUGCAGAUUUUUCUUCUUCUUCUUUCUUCCUCUGCAACAGGAAACCGACGCCGUCUUCCUCCAACUCCACCGCUGCAACCACCGGCUGAACCACCUCAUCACAGCAGCCACAACCUCUUCGGCCAAGUGAGCCCCUCUUCCUUUCCUCCUCCUUCCUUUUCCUUUCCUCCUCCUCUCUUCUUCUUCCUCCCUGUCUACUGUUCACUGCAUGAACAGUAGGCGUGAAAUAUAAUUCACGUCCUACUGUUCACGCAGGACGUGAAUUAUAUAUAUAUGUGUGUGUGUGUGUAUUAUUUAUAUUUUAUAAAUAUAAAAUAUUUUAUAUUAUAUGUAUAAAAAUAAAAAAAAUAUUUUGAAAAAUCUUAAAAAAUAUUGUUGAUUUUCUGCAUGUUUUUGUCAAAGUGGUUUAAUGUUGGUUUGUAUUUUUAUACCGUAAAGAUACAAAACCAGUGUUAAAAAUACCCGGUUUUCGUCAAAAUAUCAAAGAUUUUCAGAAUAAAAAAUGUUUUUGCUUUCAAAAAAAUUCUAAAAAGUCCCUAAAAAUGUUGUUGAUUUUUCUGCAUAUUUUUAUCAAAGUGGAUUAAUAUUGGGUUGUAUUUUUAUACCGUAAGAAUACAAACCCAGUAUUAAAAUACCCGAUUUUUGUUAAAGCAUCAAAAAAUAAUAUUUUCCAAAAAAGGUUUUUGUUUUAAAUACGGCCUAGUCUCUCCAAUAUAUAUAUAUAUAAUAUAUAUAUAUAUAUCAUCAUAUUUUCACACAACAAAGAAAAUUUUCAAAACAAUAUAUGUAUUAGCAUGCAUUUUGGCUUUAAUAACCAGUUUAUUCAAGCCAUGAGAACUAGGCCAAUAUUUCAAAAAUUCAAAAAAUUACUUUUUGUUUUCUUUUAGUAUUUGGGAUUACGAAUUUAUACGUAAAACGUAUUCCCAAAUAUUAUUAAUAAAGUUUUGGUAUAGACGUUAGAACGGUUAGGAUUUUACCCGAUAAGAUAAAGCUUUUCUUACCGAGAAGGAUUUUUCUUGAACCAUAGACAGACCAACAACUAGGAAAACACGAAAAUAUCUUAGAUUUUAUCAGACAAUAAAACAAUGCAGCUUACCUUAGGUAGGGCGUAUUUGGAGUGCUAAUACCUUCCCUGUACGCAACCAGUCCCCGUACCCGAUCUCUGAGACCAGUUAGGGUUCCUAGUGACCAAAAUACUAGGUGGCGACUCCCAUUCCAUUUUCUACCAAAAAGACAAUAUUUUCUCGUAUCCCCAUAAAUAUAGAUAGAUUUACAUUGUAGAUUAAGAAAAUGGAAGCAAACACUUGUAGUUUUUCGCCGCGACGCCGCACACGUGCAACAUGCUGUAUCAUCAACAAUUAAUAAAAAAAAAUAUUAAAAGAGUGAAUAAUUUUUUAUUGUGUUAUUGAACCUGAUUUAAUGAGACAAACUUGAAAUCUCGCCACCUGAUUUAAUGUUUGCCCACCUCUAGUUUCAGACUAAAUUGCAUUAGAGUUAUAUCAAUAUUGUGAUAUGUAUAUAUCAUGUUGUAUUAUAUAGUUUUAAAUGUUUUAUAAAUAUAUAUUUUGACUUGGACUCAGGUAAGUUUCAUAUUGGAUUUGAUAAUAUUUAUAUUUUAUCCAUUAUAUAUUAGAUAAGGUAAUUAUCUAAAUAUUAUCCACUAAUUCAGGUCAAAUCAAAUCAGGUCGAUAUUUAUCGAUUUUGAAUUAAAUGGUUGUCUAUACUAAUAAAUUAGGCUCAUUAAGUUAUGAGGGAUUCAUAAUAGAAUUAUGAUAUAUACACCGACUAGUUUCACCUGAUAGGCUAAACUAGUUAUUUGACCAAUGCUUCACUGUGAAUUAGAUAAUAAAAAAAAUUAGAAAAAAAAUAAGCAUACUUUUUCAAUGCUUUUUUUUACUAAAAAAAUCUUAAUCAUAAAUAAAUUAAAAAAUCUAUACAUACAUUUAAUUUAAUAAAUGAAGAUUCAUUUGUGCCAAUAAAUACAAAAAAAAAAAGGUGUUAGCAUAUCUAUAAAAUUAAAUAUCAUCUUUGGGCCCAUUAAGUUGUGAUGAAUUUAGAAUAGAAUCAUGACAUAUGCAUCGAUUAGCUUCACCAAAUAGGCUAAACUAAGUAUUAGACUCGCGCUUAGUUAUAGAUUGGAUAAUUUGUUUUGGAAAAAAAAAACAAAUAUGCAGCCUUUUCAACAUUUCUUUUGACUAAAAAAAUCCUAAUCAUAAAAAAAAAACAUAUACAAUAAUUUAAUUAAAUAAAUCGAGAAUUAUUUAUGUCAUCAAUAAAUGUGAAACAAAAGGUCUAUUCAAUUCACCUCGUUGCGGGUAAGAUAAAAAAAAAAUUAUAAUGCAAAAGAAUGAAUGAGAGUGUGUUGUUAAAAUAUUUUGUGACAUCGAAUAAAAAAUAUAACUAUAAAUUGAAAAUCCAAUGCUUAUAUUUAAUAAAAUAAAACAAGGAUCAUGUGCAUUAAGAAAAACAUAUAUAAUCUCAAGUUAAUUUUUAACAUAGUAGAAAAAUAAAAUAUUAUUGUGAGUGUGUUUCACUAUAUCAUGAUUGAUACAAUCCAAAAAUCAAUGGUAAAAAAGCUUAAAGAUGCAUUCAAUGAACUUAUUUAGAGUAACUGAUCCAAAGUGAAUUUUAAGAAAGUUACAACUUCAACAAGUGAUAAUCAGAUAUUAAUCAAUCUAAUAUAUGUAAAAGUGGAGUUUGAUCCAUCUACAACAUGGGCCUAAUUAUUUCACAAUGAUGGGCUAAUUAAUUUAGGCAUUAGAGGCGGUUUGGGGUUUGUUUUUUCUAAUACACAGUUUUACUCUAACAAUUAUAAUUUUUAAAUCAUAAUUGUUAACAAUGCAUUAGAUUGAAAUUAUACCUAAAGUUUUUGGAAGUCUUGUUCUAUUUUUACUUAAAAUUCUAAAGCAAUCGGAGACUAGAAAGGCUUUGUGAUAAGCUCCAGAAGCUACUAUGUAAAAAUUGUAUUAGUUUUCCAAUUGAUUUAAGAUUUCUUUUCCUAUUUUAUUUAGAAUUCUUUUAUUAUUUUUCCAGUAUUGUUUAUAAAGUUUUGACAUAUUAUAAAGAGGGUUAUUUAGCUUCUAUUUAUGGGGUUUUUUGGGGGACAAACUUUAAUUUUGUAAUUAUUAUUGUGUGUGUGAGGUUUUGCUCAUAUCUUUUGGUUUCUAAUUGAACUACUAUGGCUUAUCAAAUAAUUAAUCAAGAUUUAUGAUGUCUUCCAUACUUUACAUUCGUGUUUCUUUAUAGGCAAUGAGUGAGAGUUCGAUUACUUAUAGUUUUGGUGUCUCAGCACAAGUUAUGGUUGUGUCAAGCUUAAUUUUUUUUAAUCUUAAUGGUCAUUCUUUCAUAACCAAGAAUAAAUAAUUUUUAUUUUUAAGAAUAAUUCUUACUUAUAUAAAAAAUAUAUAAAAAAUAUAUAGAUGAAUUAUAAUAAUAUCUUAGAAACAUUAAAUACAUACAAAAUAUUUACAAAAUUAUCGCUAUUUAAAAAAAGCUAAAUAAACAAUCUAAAAAAGUUAAAGAGAAUAGAUAUUGAUUUAAAUAUAAAUUAAAAAUUUUAAAUAAAAAUACAUAUUAAAAAUAUAUCAAUUAAAAAAAUAAAAAAUAAAAAACAAAAUCAGGUUGAGUGGUCUUGGGUCGGUUUAUGAGCCUUACUCAUUUUGAAAAAAGCAUGGACAACAUUGACAUACAUCUUUUUUUUUUUUUUAAAUGGAUGAAUAGUUUAAAACACCAAUUUCUUCACCGAUGACAUAAUAUUUCCUCCAUGAAAAAUUUUCAAGGCCAAUAAACAAUUUCUAGGAAAACAAUCCCAGCUAUAGCUAGUCAAAGAUCAUAUAAAAGCCACACAAAAUCAUGCUAGUCCAUUUAAGUUAGAUGCAUCAUAGUUUUAAGACCUGAUUCGAUUUAAGACUUGGAUUCUAAAUUUUAACUGGGUCAAUUUGUUUUUUAAAAAAUCAAAACGAUAUCUUUUUAGUAAAAUAAUAUAGAAGUCAACAGGUUUGCGGACGGAUCUUGACCUGAUCAGCCGAGUUACAUCGGGUUUUUUUUUUUCAACUCGGUUCAGUUCUUGCCCUGAGUUGGCCAGGUCUCGAAUAGAUCCACCGAGCUAGACCGAGUUUCAAACUAUAAGAUGCGCACUCCCUAAUUUUUUUUAAUUUUAUAUUUGUUUUUCUCUACAUACAUAUUACUGAUUUAAAUAUAUCAAGAGAGUUAUUUUUUAGGCGAUUAGAACAACCACUAGUCAAACAUAUUAACCAAGCAAUGGAAAACCUAAUCUUCGUGUGAGGUUUUUUCGCGGCUUGAUAAGCGGAGCUGUCUACAAAAAGCUAUCUCAUUCACUUUCGGUCCUCUUAGCUGGCCAAGCACUGUAAUGUUAACAAUAGAUGCAGUUGAAAACGAGAGUAGCGGCGCGCGCAUUAGGUUGGCAAUGAAAAAACGCGCUAUUUAUCUGUCAUGUCACCACUGGCCACUUUCAAUUCUCAACCCACUCUCCGCGUAGCUUCCCUCCCCAGGAUUUCAACUCUUCCCUGAGACUAUAUAUACCCAAUCUCCUCCUCCGUUUCUCUCCACUCACAAAAUCCUCUCUUCCAUCACUACCGAUCAUCAGAUCAAUCAUGGCCUCCUUUCUUUCUUCACAUUCUCUUCUUCAACUUGCUCUGUUAAUCUCUAUUAUACAAUUCAGUUCAGCAGCAAGGACCCUCUCCGUGUCAGAUCAAAGCCAGGAUCCCUUGUUGUUUCAAUACCACAAUGGCCCUCUUCUUACCGGUGAAGUUUCUAUCAACUUGAUCUGGUAUGGCAACUUUAAGCCAUCUCAGCGAGCCAUUGUCUCAGAUUUUAUUGCCUCUGUCUCUUCUAGAAGACCCACAACAGCCCAACCCUCUGUGGCCACGUGGUGGAAAGCCACUGAGAAAUAUUACAACCUUGUCAAGACGAAGAAAACCUCUCCUCUUCUCCUCUCCGUAGGAGCACAGAUUUUAGACGAGAGCUAUUCGUUGGGGAAAUCGCUCUCCAGCAAGCAAAUCGUGCAGCUAGCAACGAAGGGUGGUCAAAAGGGUGCAAUC